UUUAGAGCCUGAACGCUGUCAACUUUGCUCCCGCCUUGCACUUCACUGAGGAGUAAUGAGACCAGUAGUUGUAUAUCUGGUUGUGUUUGAAGUCUGAGCAAAUAUGGCUGAACAAGAAUUUCGAUCUAAAAUGACAACUAAAGGUCAAGAACAGAGAUUUCUGCUAAGGAGAGGAAAUCCAUGCACACUGGACAAAUUCCUUAGGGAAAGAAAGACGCAAGAGGUUUCAAGGAGGCAGAGCCACGCUGACAUUAUGUGGCUAUGUAAGUCAGCUGUGAAGGCUCAGCAUUAGGAUAUCAUUCAUUCAUCAAGGAGUUCUUUAAACAAGACAGAAGUUUUUGUUAUGCAACAAAUAGAAUGACCGGAAGAGAAACAGGUAUCAAAACAAAGCAAAAUCUUAAUAUGGAGGACAGGAAAUUAAAGCAUCAUAGCCCAGAACAGAACCCAAAACUGAAGUCAAAUCAAAAAAGAGAAAAAGAGACAAUAGAACUAGAGAACCAGAACAAAUUUUAAGAAUGCUUUUGUUUCUCUUUGAGAAAUCUGCAAAUUCAGACAACUACGUGAUCUUAGGAAGUGCAUUUUAUAACCUUUGAUCCCUGAUAUCAUUAGACAUU